CAUUGGGCACUGUCUAUGGUUGUGUGGGCUCUCGUGGCUGGUCGUCUUAGUUGGGGUAUUUGGCCUGGUUUUUUCUCAUGGUUGUUUGUCUACUCUGGUUGUUAAUAGUUCUGGGUCCUGGAGGAUGUUGCCUGGGUUAUGUUUGUUGUCCUGUGUUUGUGUGUCUUGCAUUAACUAUUUACAGGUUAUGAUGCUUUGGAUCUGGAGCUAGCUGUUUUUUCUGUGCCAUCCCUCUCUUCACCCCUCCACUGUGUGCUGCUCUGCUGCUGGAUUUCUUCCCAUCCUUGUCAUGCACAGUCCCUGUCUUUGUGUUUGUGUCUCUUUCCUAUCAUCUUUUUCUUCGGCCAGUCGAGGCAGACGGCUGCCCGUCCUGAGUCUGGUUCUGCUGGAGGUUUCUCUCAGCUCAAACUGAGAUUUCCUCUCCACUGUCGCUAUAUGCUUGCUCAGGAUGGGGGAUGUCAUCAAAUUGGUUUCAUGAUCAAUUUGAUGGGGUUCGCCGAGGACCCCUCCGGGGAAUCGUCACCUUAACGUGGUGGAGGGGUUUGAGUACUCCAGUGAACCUGAUGGCUGUCUAUUAUUAUUUUUAUUGUAUUUGAAUUUUUGCCAUUAGAGAACUUAUGAUCUCUAAUGGCAAAAAUUAGAGCCCUAAUGGUCUCUAAUGUCAAAGAUGGCUUCAGGGGUGGAGUCAACCAAGAACGAUUCAAACUCUGUCCUCCCAAAUGAAUAAGGAGUUUUCAGCAGAAAA